UAGUGAUUGACUUUCCAUAACAAUAAAAUUUUGGAGAUACGUAGCCCAACUCUAUUGCCAUGUAAGAAAUCAAACUGAAGAUCCAAAAGAAUAAUAUUACCUGAGAAAGAGAAUAGGAAUUAGCAAAAGCAUAUCAUAUUCAAAGCAGAAACUGAAGACCAGCAGAUGGAUUAGAGCUUAGGUCUUUCCGUUGAUGAAUAAACAUUCUCAAAUAUUUCUUGCUUGAUAAAUAAUUCAUGAAAACAAAUCAAUGGCUAUAAUGAACAAGCAUUUUAUAGUGGCUGAGUUGUGAUGCUGCUAGAGAAAGAGAGAAAAUUCAUUGUAGAAGGAUUAUCAAGAAGAUAUUAAUUUUAAGAUUACCAAUAAUCACCACAGGAGCAGCUUCCGCCUUUGAAAUGAUGGAAGCGAUUUGCAUCUCUCAACAAAAUUUCUCUUUGAUAGACCUUUGAUACGAAUUUGAUAGCAUGAUGGCAAUCUCCAUAGACACGGAGGUUUUUUAUCACUCUAAUCCUGCUGGAUGGAGGAGUGCUCAGCAGUCCAUAUGCAACUGCUAACUUCUCACAAUGGUAAUAUAGAGAACGCUCUUCCUCCUCUUCCUCCACAUCAAGCAGCACAAAAUCUGUAUCAGGAACAUAUCCUUCACCUUUGAUCUUUGAUCCUUUUCAUCAUAUCCUCCACCUUAUCAUAUAUUGUAUCAGCCUCAGGGUGGGAUCUAUCAUCGACCACAAACAAUUGCACUGUGUUCCUAACAUCUAUCCAACUAAACCCAGGAUCCUUCUUUACAUUCUUCCUCUGCAUUGUUCUUCUAGCAUUAGUUGCAUCAUCCCAUUGGUCGGCUGCAGCAUAAAUAUUAGAUAACUGCAAGUAUGCCGAUGAGUCAGAUGGCUCCAUGGCCAUUAGCUGGGUUGCCAACCGUUUUCCAGUAUCCAUAUCCCCCAGAACACGACAAGCACCUAGCAAGGCUCUGUACAUUGAAGCAGAGGCUUCAAAGGGCAUUGACAAGAUCAGUUUCUCUGCCUCUUGAACAAGCCCUGCACGGCCAAGAGCGUCAACAAGACAAGCGUAAUGCUCAAUCUCAGGAUGGAUACCAUAAUCUUUUUGCAUUGAAUAAAAAUGCCCAUAAGCAUCAGAAACAAACCCAGAAUGGCUACAGGCAGAAAGGACACCAAUAAAGGUAACCCCAUCUGGUUGAAUAUCAUGAGAUUUCAUGACUUGGAAGAGGUGAAGGGCUUCUUUACCAUGUCCAUGCUGAGCUAGACCCACCAACAUAGCAUUCCACAAGACAUUGUUCCUCACAUCCAUUCUUUUAAAUAAAAAAUAUGCAUCUUCUAUGUUCCCGCACUUGGCAUACAUAUCAACGAGUGAAGUCCCAACAAAAGUAUCUGAAGCACAAUCCAGCUUGAUCACAUUUGCAUGAAUUUGUCUCCCGUGUUCCAAUGCUGUUAGACAAGAGCUGGCUUUGAUAAGGGUAGCAAAGGUAUAUUCAUCAGGUAGGACUCCAGAGAGUCUCAUCUGAUGGUAUAUAGAAAGUGCACGGUCUUCAUCUCCAUUUUCAACACAUCCUGAAAUCAUAGUUGUCCAUGCAACAUCAUCAGGCUUAGGAAUAUCAUUAAACAGCAAGUGUGCAUUUACCAUGUCUCCACAUUUGAUAUACGUAUCAAGAAUACCACUACUUACAAAUAACUCUGAAUCCAAACCUAACUUUAUUGCAUGAGCGUGAACUUGCUUCCCUUGUUCCAACCUCACCAGGCAACAACAGGCUUUAGCUGAAGUCGCUAAUGUGAUCUCAUCAGAACUCUCUCCCCUUUUAUGCAUCAGAGCGAAAAGUUCCAAUGCUUUAUGACUAUCAUUACUAGUUAUGUACCCGAACAUCAUUGUAUUCCAAGUCACCAAAUCAAACUCAUUUUUAUUUUGGAACAGAAAUUCUGCCUCUUCCAUUAAACCACUUCUCGAAUAAACAUCUAUAAGAGCAGUUGAAACAAAACUAUCAGCAACUGUACAGGUUUUUAUAGCAUAAACAUGAAUCUGCUUACUGAGAUGAAAGCCCUCUGCAAUUGAGGAGCAAGCUCUUAGCACACUCGCCAAUGUGAAAUGAUUUGGCUGAAAGCCAUCACGCAAUAGACCUAUAAGUAGACUUACUGACUCCUUCUCUAAAUUAUUCUGUGCACAACAUGAUAUCAUCGAGUUCCAUGAAAUUAAAUCCAGUUCAUUCAUGCCAGUAAAUACUUUCUUUGCAAAAGAGACAAAUCCCAUCUUGGAGUACAUAUUGAUAACACUAUUCGCAACAGAAACCAAAGAAUCAAAACCUGAUUUCAAAAUCAUGCCAUGAAUAUGUUGCCCCAACCUUAAGUUAUCUGUACCAGUAGCUGCAGCCACUACCACGACUAAUGUCACAUUGUCAUAUUUCACAUAUGAUCUAAUCAUAUUUGUAAAACAAUCAACUGCAGCCCAAUAUUCACCAGCUUGGAGAUGCUCUGACAAUUUCUUAUUCCACAUAACCACGUUUGAGUUAUCAUCAUAGAAAAAUAGUUUAGUUGCAUAGGCUUGAAUCUGCUCCAUGUACUUCUUUCCUGUAUCGGAACAAAUAUCAGAUAUCCCAUUGAGAACACAGCACACACUAGCAUCAUCAGGACGUAAGCCACUCCGAUGAAACUCUGAGAAGAGACAAAGUGCCGCCUCUUCCAUACCACUUUCCACAUAUGCCUUGAGCAUUACAUUCCACAACACCACAUCCCUCUCCGGCAUUCUCUCAAAUAAAACGCUAGCCUCGCUAACUAAACCAAAUUUGGAAUAAAUAUUCACAAGGGCUCCCGAAACAAACACAUCCCACUCCAAACCUAUUUUCACUGCAUACCCAUGUACUGCCUCAGAAGCACAAACAUACCCAGAAAGUAAGCAAAGCUUCAGCACGGGAGCCAGAGUCAUUUUACUAGUGGAAACAAAACACUCACGAAGAAGACGAAAAAGGCUAAAACCCUCUGUAACAUGGUCUAAAUCAGAAUCAGCUGAUUGCGCAUAGGCAGCUAAAAUGGAAUUCCAGGUAACAAGGUCUCGGUCAAGAGUUCUAUCAAACAAUUGGCGAGCGGAGGAGAGGGACCCACAUUUAGAGUACAUAGAAAUGAGGUUGUUGAUCAAGAAACGAUCUGAAGUUUGGCCAGAGGUUAUAAUACCUCCAUGAACGCACUUGCCGAGAGGCAAGUUGGAGGAGGAGACGGCGGUGCGGAGGAGAGAGAAGCAUUGAGAGGGAGAAGGAGAAGGUGAGCGAGAAAGAGAGAUAGGGUCUAAGAGAGAGGAAAAAUGGGAGAGAAAGGAAAGGAAAAGAGAGUAAGAGGUUAGGGAUUUGGCAGAGGUGGAGACGAUGGAAAGGGGUUUGAGAUUGGAUUGUAAGAGCAUUUCUCGGAUGGAGUGGGCGCAGGUUUAGCUUCCCUUCAAUUCCAAAGUUCACACUCCAGUGGGAUCAAUUUCAAU
rnacentral:misc_RNA from 1 species